rnacentral:rRNA from 1 species
UACCAGCACCCCGAGUGGUCGGGACGAUUAUUGGGCCUAAAGCAUCCGUAGCCGGUUCUGCAAGUCCCCCGUUAAAUCCAGCUGCUCAACAGAUGGGCCGCGGAGGAUACUACAGAGCUAGGAGGCAGGAGAGGCAAGCGGUACUCAGUGGGUAGGGGUAAAAUCCGUUGAUCCAUUGAAGACCACCAGUGGCGAAGGCGGCUCACUGGUCCAUUACUGACGCUGAGGUGCGAAAGCGUGGGGAGCAAACAGG